rnacentral:rRNA from 1 species
CGUGUAGGCGGAUGGGGACGUCGGUUGUUGAAAGCCCCCGGCUCAACCGGGGAACUGGCGCCGAAACGCCCUGUCUUGAGGAGCGUAGGGGGACCUGGAACUUCCGGUGGAGCGGUGAAAUGCGUUGAGAUCGGAAGGAACGCCCGUGGCGAAAGCGAGGUCCUGGACGUUAUCUGACGCUGAGACGCGAAAGCUAGGGGAGCGAAACGGGAUUAGAUACCCCGGUAGUCCUAGCUGUAAACGAUGGGCACUGGGUAGGGGGCUCGCCGAUGGGCUCUCUGCCGUAGGGAAACCGUGAAGUGCCCCGCCUGGGGAGUAUGGUCGCAAGGCUGAA